rnacentral:rRNA from 1 species
UACAGAGGGUGCGAGCGUUAAUCGGAAUUAUUGGGCGUAAAGAGCUCGUAGGUGGUGUGUCGCGUCUGCCGUGAAAGCCCGGGGCUUAACUCCGGGUCUGCGGUGGAUACGGGCAGACUAGAGGCAGGUAGGGGAGAACGGAAUUCCCGGUGUAGCGGUGAAAUGCGCAGAUAUCGGGAGGAACACCGGUGGCGAAGGCGGUUCUCUGGGCCUGUACUGACGCUGAGGAGCGAAAGCGUGGGGAGCGAACAGG